GACGAACGCUGGCGGCGUGCUUAACACAUGCAAGUCGAACGGAAAGGCCCUGCUUUUGCGGGGUGCUCGAGUGGCGAACGGGUGAGUAACACGUGAGUAACCUGCCCUUGACUUUGGGAUAACUUCAGGAAACUGGGGCUAAUACCGGAUAGGAGCUCCUGCUGCAUGGUGGGGGUUGGAAAGUUUCGGCGGUUGGGGAUGGACUCGCGGCUUAUCAGCUUGUUGGUGGGGUAGUGGCUUACCAAGGCUUUGACGGGUAGCCGGCCUGAGAGGGUGACCGGCCACAUUGGGACUGAGAUACGGCCCAGACUACUACGGGAGGCAGCAGUGGGGAAUAUUGCACAAUGGGCGGAAGCCUGAUGCAGCAACGCCGCGUGCGGGAUGACGGCCUUCGGGUUGUAAACCGCUUUCGCCUGUGACGAAGCGUGAGUGACGGUAAUGGGUAAAGAAGCACCGGCUAACUACGUG
rnacentral:rRNA from 1 species